rnacentral:rRNA from 1 species
GACAGAGGUUGCAAACGUUGUUCGGAAUCACUGGGCAUAAAGCGCACGUAGGCGGUCUGUUAAGUUAGAUGUGAAAUCCCCAGGCUCAACCUGGGAACUGCGUCCGAUACUGGAUGGCUUGAAUCCGGGAGAGGGAUGCAGAAUUCCAGGUGUAGCGGUGAAAUGCGUAGAUAUCUGGAGGAAUACCGGUGGCGAAGGCGGCAUCCUGGACCGGCAUUGACGCUGAGGAGCGAAAGCCAGGGGAGCAAACGGG